rnacentral:lncRNA from 1 species
AUAGAUGUUAAAAAGCUAUUGGAGGCUCAUACUAAAUCAUGAGCUUAGUCAUAGAAGUCUUUUGCUCUUCGUUGUGAACAUCUGGGCUACUAAAAAACAAUAGGCAGUUGCUAGGUAGCUUCUCUAUUCAUUUGAACCAGAAUCCAGCAAAAUAGGUUUGAAGAGAUGAGAGAGCAUUCCGCUUGUAAACAAUUCUUUCUUUCCAAGCAUACCAAUUACUUCAAGAAUUGGUUGUGAACUCUAGUUCUUGUUCCUCCGCAAAAUAAAAGUUAUGCAAGGUGCCUUUGCAGCCAUCUAAUUGCUUCAACAAAUUCCAGUAACGUAUACGAAGUCUUAGUUGCCUGCUCAAAGACAGAAAGAUACUAAAUUACAGCAAAAACCAAAUGCUAAAAGAGUACUCAACUUAGCUAGAUUACGAAUAAAAAUGUAUUUGAUAGUGACUUUACGCAAGUUUUGGCAACUUUUGACAAUGGAAGUCAUCUUGCUCAGACUCAGUAGUAGCAGUAACCACCAAGGACAAAGUCUAGAAUGCCUGGCUAGUUUUGUGGCCAAAAAAUGGAAGAGUUAAGAAAAGCAGGAAAC